UGGCGGACGGGUGAGGAAUACAUCGGAAUCUACUCUGUCGUGGGGGAUAACGUAGGGAAACUUACGCUAAUACCGCAUACGACCUACGGGUGAAAGCAGGGGAUCUUCGGACCUUGCGCGAUUGAAUGAGCCGAUGUCGGAUUAGCUAGUUGGCGGGGUAAGGGCCCACCAAGGCGACGAUCCGUAGCUGGUCUGAGAGGAUGAUCAGCCACACUGGAACUGAGACACGGUCCAGACUCCUACGGGAGGCAGCAGAG
rnacentral:rRNA from 1 species